rnacentral:rRNA from 1 species
GAUGAACGCUGGCGGCGUGCCUAAUACAUGCAAGUCGAGCGAACAGACGAGGAGCUUGCUCCUCUGACGUUAGCGGCGGACGGGUGAGUAACACGUGGAUAACCUACCUAUAAGACUGGGAUAACUUCGGGAAACCGGAGCUAAUACCGGAUAACAUGUUGAACCGCAUGGUUCAACAGUGAAAGACGGUUUUGCUGUCACUUAUAGAUGGAUCCGCGCCGCAUUAGCUAGUUGGUAAGGUAACGGCUUACCAAGGCAACGAUGCGUAGCCGACCUGAGAGGAUGAUCGGCCACACUGGAACUGAGACACGGUCCAGACUCCUACGGGAGGCAGCAGUAGGGAAUAUUGCGCAAUGGGCGAAAGCCUGACGGAGCAACGCCGCGUGAGUGAAGAAGGUCUUCGGAUCGUAAAACUCUGUUGUUAGGAAAGAACAAAUGUGUAAGUAACUAUGCACGUCUUGACGGUACCUAAACAAAAAGCCACGGCUAACUACGUG